rnacentral:lncRNA from 1 species
AAAGGCAUUGUUUAUUACAGGCCUAGAAUACCACUCACGCUCCAAAUGCAGGCAUCCUACCGCUCCCUCCGUUAUUCCAAGCUUUGGGCACAAGACCUCGAGGUAUAGUGAUCCUUUGGCACCAAUGAUGGCAAAAACUCAAGACUGUGGACUCUUAAAAGCUCUUGGCUGCCGCGAGGAUGCUCUCCACAGUGAUGCCGUACUCCUGGUAGAUCUUUCCAGCAGGAGCACUUGCACCGAAUUUGUCGAUGCCAAUGGCCUUGCCCUGGGCUCCGACGUACUUCUGCCAUCCGAGAGUAGACCCUGCCUCAAUACUGAUUCUCGCAGAAACAGACGCAGGGAGAACGCUCUCCUUGUAUUCAUCUGACUGCUCCUCGAAAAGCUCCCAGGAAACGAAUGACACAACACGGACGGUCUUCCCCUCCUUCCUCAACUCAUCAGCAGCCUUGGCAGCAAUCUCCAGUUCAGAACCGGUACCCAUCACAAUGAGGUCAGGCUUGUUGCCAGUUGAGUUGUCAGAGAUGGUAUAUCCACCCUUCUCAACACCCUCAAUUGAGGUACCAGGCAGAUUAGGAAGCUUUUGCCUGGAGAGAGCGAGAACAGAUGGCCUCUUCCUGUUGAGAACUGCAACUUUGUAUGCUCCAGCGGUCUCAUUACCAUCAGCAGGACGGAGCAUCAAUAUGUUGGGCAUUGCGCGGAAACUCACCAAGUGCUCAAUGGGCUGAUGGGUCGGACCAUCUUCUCCGAGACCAAUAGAGUCGUGGGUCAUAACAUAGAUAACUCCAGCUUCAGACAAAGCUGAGAUCCUCAUGGCACCUCUCAUGUAAUCGGUGAAGACAAAGAAAGUAGCACAGUAUGGAACAAACCCUGGGCUGUGCAGAGCAAUGCCAUUGCAAAUGGCACCCAUUCCGUGCUCCCUGACUCCAAAGCGGACAUUGCGCUCCUCAGGUGUAUCCUUCUGGAAGUCACCAAACAUCUUAAGCAAUGUCAUGUUGGAGGACGCCAGAUCAGCACUACCUCCAAUAAGACCAGGCACAACUUUAGCAAGUGCGUUCAAGCACUGCUGGGAGAGGUUCCUGGUGGCAUCUCCUGGGAUCUCUGGAGUGUAUUUCUAGAAGAAGAAGAAAACAAUAAUCUACCAUUAGAGUUUAAUCUUCCACAUAUCAGCUGCAGUAUUGCAAGUAUAAAUGUAUACUUACAGGGAGAGCAUCAGCCCAGCCAGUGGGUAACUCCCCUGUGAUGAUACUUUUCAAGGUUGCUGCAUCCUCUGGGUACUUCUUCUCGUACUCUGCAAACUUAGCAUUCCAAUCAGCCUCAAGUGCAGCACCUUCAGGCGUGUGGCGGCUCCAGUGGCUGCAGUGAUCCAUUCAAAGAAACCAUAGGGUGAGUGAAAUGCAUUUCAUCAUCUCAUUCAGAUCACUAGAAUACUAGCACAAAUAAGAGACCAACCUCUUGACAUCCUCCGGCACAAAGAAUGCCUCAUAGGGCCAUCCAAGGUUCUGCCUGGUUGCUUCGACCUCUUUGGUGCCCAAUGCACUUCCGUGAACGCUGUAUGAGUUGGACUUGUUCGGAGAUCCAAAACCGAUCGUGGUAGUCACCUACAAAGAGUACAAAUUAUACAAAUGUGAUAAAAUCUACAAAAAACAAGACAUAAAAAUUGCAGAUACCAAAGAAACCAACCUUGAUUAAGGUAGGCUUGUCAGUAACUGCCUUUGCUUCCUUAAUGGCCGCACGGAUGUCAUCAUAGCCAGUGUUUCCAUUCUUAACCCAGAUUGUGUGCCACCCAAG